rnacentral:tRNA from 1 species
UAUAAAGUAAGCUAAUUAAGCUUGUGGACUCAUAAUCCGUACAUGAUAAAAAUCCUUUAUUA